GGAAGAGGUAGUUUGCUGCACUUUCAAAUUGUGGGAAGGGAAUGGGCGAACGAAUUGAAUGCCCUGUCUUCUUCAGCUAGGGAGAAGUAAUGGGUGGUUGCCAUCUAUAAAAAGUAAUAUUCAUCCAUGGAUAUAUGAACUAAUUGGAAAAAAUUUUUAGUUCUUUUUGUUACAGAAUUUAUGCCAUCCUGUCUGAAACUCAGGAAACACAGAGUCCCUGGUUGUGUAAUAAGAGUAUACUUGAAAAGUACCCUGUCCUUAUCUGACAACCCAGAUGAAGAAUCCUGGCCCUGAAGCUGCUUUUCUUAAAACUCUACAUAGCACCAAAGCCUGUGCAGUCCAUUAAUGCCCUUCCUAUGUGGUUUGACCCAUGGAGAAGCAUUUCGCUACAGGAAGUGCAGAUACUUUGGUCAGCCUCUGGGAUGUGGAUGAGUCAGUGUGGUACAAAGCAUUUCUAGGUAAGCAAAUCUGCUAGUACUUUAUUUAUUGGAUAAUUAGUUUUAUUCUAUCCUGGAUGCCUUCUUCUAAUUCUUCAUGCCUUAGGAAUUCUAAUGUGUCCUUUUUGUACCCUGUAUUAUGGGCCGGAUUGGUCUGUGAGGACCAUCAAUUUUAGCCAUGAUGGGAAAAUUCAGGCAUCAACAUCAG
rnacentral:lncRNA from 1 species